CAGGAAACCGCUGAGCAGAGGAAAGGAACGAGGGCAUCAACCUGAUAAGAAGUGAGUUGAAACGUUAAAGCGGGAGAAAAAGGAGACGUGAAAGGAGAAGUGAAGAAGAGAGGGCCAGCUGCAGUGUGGGCAGGUCUGUAGGUCAAGGUGUUUCUUCUUGGGUCCGCUCACUUCGUGCGUCGUGGCCUUGCACACGGCUUUGCUGAUGGCCGAGCCGCUCAUGCUGUGCUGCGCGGCGGCGAUCCGGUCCGUCAGAGUCGGCCCGGACAUGGUGGAGGAGGAGCGGCUUCGGCUGGAGCCCGGAGGAGGCGGGAGUUGUCACUUGGGACACGACGAGCAGCCGUGGUGCUCCUUGGUGGCGUUGGCGUACCCCGACAGGACCAGGGUGGCGGGCUCCCGCUCCAUCGGGGGGCUCUCCUCGUUGCUCAGAAUGUGCUCCACCAGGCAUUGAGCGGCCUCCUCGAUGUUGCUGUUUUCCUAAAAGCUGCAGGCGGACGACGGUGUCCGGGUCCCACUGGAGCACCUUGAGGGCGAAGUCGACACCGAUGGUGGCGCGGUAGUGCUGCGAGAAGAUAUGGUGCACGUAGCGCUUGAUGAUGGACGUCUUGCCCACGCCCAGGUCCCCGAUCACCAACACUUUGAACAGGAGCUCCCGCUGCAUGGCUCAAAAGCAAAAGUCCCUCAACAACUAGAACUUAGUUACAAGUGGAGGUUGCAAAACCGAGAGUUUGGAGUGGUCAUUUACUCGCAAUGUGUUUGCUUUCCAUGUCGUAUUGGAGAGGACCGCUUGAAAAUGAGGAGUUCUGACCUCUGCGGACCUCCCACUCCUACGUGACUCCUGGCUGGGAGCGACUCCCAUGGGAGAUGCUGCUGUGUUCAUGUGCUUGACUGAAAUGUGGGAUUUCGGAGUAUCUCCCAACAGAAACCUGAAAUCGCAAUGAAUGUCGUAUUCAUUCAUUCAUUCAUGCAAACCUUUCUUUCAAUGUCGAGAUCAUUUCCAAUGAUGUCGAGAGGACAUAAAACAGAAACAAAACAACAACAGAGCAAACAUGAUCAAAAACAGGUUCAUUCAAAAGCAAACACUUGUAAAAAGUUCAAAUGUUUAUCUGAAAUAAAAUGCAGUUGGUAAAAUUGUUUUGAUAAAAAAACGAAUCAAUCCACUCAAUUCAUGCAAUUUCUUUCAUUUUGUUAUUUAUAAUUAAUUGGAUUAUAAUAAAUUUGCCAAUGUAGAAAAACGUUUAUUUUAAUUAGAAAACAUUUGUUACAAUUAACUUCAUUAUAAUUAUUAAUUUUUUAUUUCUGUUUUAUUAAAAAUAAUGUUAAGUAAUUAUUUGUAUUUAAUUAUAAUUAUUUAACCAAUUAUGGAAUGUG